rnacentral:misc_RNA from 1 species
CAAAUAAAUACGAACUUCCGGCUGCACGAUCAUGUUCUGUGUUCUGAUGAUGUGAUUAAGAUAACAGCCGGAUAUGUCAUGCAGAUUCGCAUAUCCUGCUGAAAAAGAAAUAGGGAAUCAAAGACAUUCAAUAUGAGCGCAGAUCAUGUCUAUGAAAAAGAUUAAAAGUGAGUCACUCUUAAAUACAAAAUUCUGCCCUCUACAAGAGCUAAUUCACACUCUGCAGACUUAAAGCUUAACUACCCCUAAAACCCGACAUGACUUGAUUGGCAUCAGAGAAUUGUGUACUGACCAACUCUAGAACUCGAUCUUAUGGAGGAGAAAAGGGAGUACUGAAUCGAAAUAACAAACUUGUUUGGCAGCCCUUCAGACCUCGUUUGUACAAUGACAAGCUCCUUUAGCAACAAGUGCACGAUUGAUACCUAUUGUUGACUUAUGCUGCUUAGGCCUCAAGGCUGCUGCAUGCUAUCCUGCCUAUUUUCCUUCGACACUGACACCUGUUUCAGAUGCAGAUUCCGUUGAAUCUGUUUCAAUAGAAGAUAAUUUGAGAAGCCGCCCUUUUUGGGCCCGAGGUGGUAGAUGCUUUGCAUGCUUUCUUGAUCCUACAGUCCAGGGCAAGAAAACCCCAGUACCCCCACCAGAGAUCCUUUUUGGACUUAACACCAUAGGGGGCACUGGAGCUAGCAUGACCACCGGGCUACGAAGGACUCCCCAUUUGGUCAUCGUAUCCACUGCCUCGUACCCUCCAAGAGCUCCAUUAGGCAUUGCAUAUGGCCCUGGCAUGUUGGGUUGCCACAGGGUCAUGGCACCAGCCACUGGGUUAGUUGGUGGGGACUGGCCUUGACUGGCAUCAGGGCGCACUUUGAAGAAUGUGAUGCUGACCCGUUUGUUUGGAGAUGGGCACAUUACAUGUCUUGCCAUGUCAGAACUGUUUCCCCUCAUUACUAAAAGGGACCUACAAGAUUACCGAAAUCAAGACAUAAGCCAACUUGUCCACUAGUAAUUGCAUGGGAAAAUAGAACGUUGGCAAAUGAUAAAUUUUUAAGAAACUUUCAGUGAGAUUUAUUUCAAGUACACAAUCUAUAUUUAUGGUUGCAGCAAGAUACACUUUAACGCCUCUGUUUCCCUAUUUGUUAUUUGUUGUCACAAAAUGAGCAGAGUUAAUGCAAGAUGCAGGCCUUACGGAAAAAAAUAAAAUAAAAGACCACAGGUGGCAUGGUGACAUGUAAUUAGACAACAUUUAAUUACUUUCAGGAAGUUAAACUCAGCCUAGUUACAAGAUUUAUCUGUUGCUUCUUGUAGUCAUUGCCAAUCAGUACCUAGAAGUGGUAGUAGAGAGUCACUUGGUCACUCCCUUAAAUGAGAAACUUCCAGAAUUCCAGUCAAACAGCUUUGAUGGAGGUUACCAACGCCAGUUGCAGAUAAUGAAGUGGAUGCAAAUGCUAGUUUAACCCCUCCAUUCACAUCAAGAAAUGAAGAGUGUUAUCACCAGACAUUAGAAGUCUAUAACCACAAAAAGAUUAUGGGAUGUUACUGCUUUCACAUAAGUUUAUCUACAAUUAAUUUUUGGAGUUGAAUUUGUUUAUGUAACUAUUUCAUCAUUUAUGCAAUUCCUUAUUUCUAUAGUUUUCUAUUCAAUCCAGCAUUAUAACUUCAGGGUAAUGAAACAGAUAUAUGUGUAAAUACAAUUUAAAGAAACUUUAAGUGUGUACCCUUCUUUCAAUGAAAGCAUAAGUGGACCUCUAUAAUUCCCAUCAUUGUCACUCACAAGAGUACGUCCAAAAGCCAUUGUUGAUUCAGACAGAAGAAGAGUAGAGACUGGUUGCUCCAAAUGGGGUGGCUUCUGAAAAGGCUGUGAAUAUUCAUCCUCAUCAAAGAAAUGAAUGAUACAACCAUUUGGUUUUUUAUAUUCUGGUAUUAGUUGCCACUGAACCAGAUGAUUGAUGACACCUUGGAGAAGUGCUGGAAUUGGUUCUAUAUUACUUGUUCGGUUGUCACUUGUAGCUUCCUCCUUUAUAUGUCCAAAAAUGGGAACGCCAAACUGGACCAGCUCUCUCUUGUUUCCCUUCACCUGCUUGUUGAAUAAAAUGAAAGUCUCGCCUGCAUUCAACAUUUAAGAAGAUCCACUUAGUUUUCAUGAACCAAAAAGCUCUAACUAUGAAUUUAUGCAAAUUUUGAUUGUCAGCAAAGACAAGUUUUUUACUCAAAUUGGAUUUUAAAUAGACAGAAUAUCAGCUCUCUUGUUUCCCUUCACCUUCAAGUCUUUUAUAUCAACAACUAAGAUUAAAUAGGGUAACUAAAACAAAUGAAGGUGAAAUGAAAGAUGUUUAAAAAUCCAAUUUUCUGUUUUACAAAUAUGGGAAGUUUACUUAAAGCAACUUUUAGAACAGAAAGAUACCCAAAGGCCUUCACCACUCUAUUCUCCCAGACUUGCUAGUUAAUCGGACUGCCUCUAGUUGCUCUGUUUCAAAUUGAACUGGGAUAGACUAUAAUGUUUUAGCAACUCAACAUGUCUUAUGCAAAACUAAACCCAAGCUUAAUUUGAUAGGGGUGGAGAAAUGAAUGGGCAAACAUAUUAGAACAAAGCCAAAAGUGAAUUACCAUGUCAAGUUUCAUUUAAAGGGGGGCUCAAUCAUACAAGUAGAACAAAGAGAAAAGUCACCUGCAAGGUCCCCAUUCUGACCAGCAACUCGGAGUUCAUUAACGAAGUCAGUCAACUUAGAUAGCUCAGAAUCAGUGAAAACGUCCUCAUAUAACUUUAAACCUUUAACAACAUUCACCUGCCAGUUGUAAUAUCUCUCAAUCAGUAACAGCUGGCUGCUUUUUUAACAGCAUAAACUAUAGGGAUAUCUACUCUCUGAAUCCAUCUUCUCUAAGGAAAGAAGAUUUUUAAAUUUUGAAUUAAAGAACUCGCCAUGUGCCCUUUCACUUGUUCCUUGGCUGAGAAACCUUUUGUCAACUUGAUUUGAUCACGACGCAGAUUGCAGUCUUCAUGGUUGGAACAAAUGUCAAUGCUCUGACUAGUGGGCUGCACUUCUUGAGAUCCUGUAUCAGUAAUAUCGCUAUCUGGCGAAUCCUCCUCUUCCACAAUCUCGCCGCCAUCUCCACCUUCAUCUACACCGUUUUCUAUGUUUUCCGUCGCUUUUUCUCCAACUUUCUUUUCCUCGACCAAACACAACUCCUUCAACACCACCUCACUCUUAUUUUCACUUUCACCAUUCUUUUCAUUCAAUUUCCUCUCUGCCACUCGCUUUAGUUCCGCUGCAACGUCAGCAAUCGAGUGAUAUUUCUGCAUCUGGAGCACGGGGAUCCAGUUCAGCCUCCUCCGAUGAAUAGCGGCGAAUACCUCCUCGUACUCGGAUCCUGGUCCUCCGCUGAGCUGCGCCAGGUGACUGCAGAGCGCAUCGAUUACGGCGUUGGCUGCCGCGAAUUCCCCUCGAAACCAGGCGAGAAUCGCGUCCUUGGCGAACGCGUCAGCCACCAUCAUCGGCGGCGUUUGUACGGGCACCAUUGUGGGCCCCACUGGUGGAGCUCGAUCCGUAGGCGAUGCUAUCCCGGCCGCCAUCGGCAUCACUGGCAAGUUGAGCUAAUGUUGUUUAUAAUAUGUCAGUAUAAUUCAGCUUGGCCGGCGUGUCUUGAGCCUCCGAUAUAUCGGGAGGGGUGUUACCUGCCGACCGAGAUAUAGGUUGAGAAUAUCGGGGUUGUGAUGAUUCAGGAAAAUGAGAGAAACACAGAGAGAUGCAGGUGAAAGGAAAGGGUUUGGAUCACACAUGGGGGAGG